GGAGGAGCCGAGAAGCGUUCUCGACGGCUUUUUGUAACUCGGCUUCGUCGGUUUUGUCCGAGUCGAUGCUGAGCAACACGUUCUUCCUCCUCACGAAAUGGAACUGUGGGGCUGAGUUAUGGAACCCCGUGACUCGUAAAAUGUCGCCGACUCGGUACCUGCAUAAUCCGGCAUAGGUCGUGAUUACGAGCUCGUAUUCUUUCCCGAUUUCCACGUCAACAAGGUCAACGAGUUUAGGAGGUGAGUCACGAGUGAACCCAGCUGAGUUAGGAUCAUGAGGUAAGAACUC
rnacentral:lncRNA from 1 species